GACAAACGCUGGCGGCAUGCCUAACACAUGCAAGUCGAACGGACAGAACAGGGAAGCUUUUCGGAGUGGAACUGGAAAGUUAGUGGCGGAUGGGUGAGUAACGCGUGGACAACCUACCUUGUAAAGGGGAAUAACCUCGAGAAAUCGAAGCUAAUACCCCAUAAUAACCUUGCUUCGCAUGAAGUAAGGAGGAAAGGCGGCCUUAGCGCUGUCGAUACAAGAUGGGUCCGCGUCUGAUUAGCUAGUUGGUGAGGUAAAGGCUCACCAAGGCGACGAUCAGUAGCCGGCCUGAGAGGGUGAACGGCCACAUUGGGACUGAGACACGGCCCAAACUCCUACGGGAGGCAGCAGUGGGGAAUCUUCCGCAAUGGGCGAAAGCCUGACGGAGCAAUGCCGCGUGAGUGAAGAAGGCCUUCGGGUUGUAAAACUCUGUCAUUAUCGAAGAGAGAGUGUUGUAGUAACUGACAAUACUAGGACGGUAGAUGAGGAGGAAGCCCCGGCUAACUAUGUG
rnacentral:rRNA from 1 species